UACGUAGGGGGCAAGCGUUGUCCGGAAUCAUUGGGCGUAAAGAGCGUGUAGGCGGCCCGGUAAGUCUGUUGUGAAAGUCCAGGGCUCAACCCUGGAAAGCCGAUGGAUACUGCCGGGCUAGAGUUCGGAAGAGGCGAGUGGAAUUCCUGGUGUAGCGGUGGAAUGCGCAGAUAUCAGGAGGAACACCGGUGGCGAAGGCGGUUCUCUGGGCCUGUACUGACGCUGAGGAGCGAAAGCGUGGGGAGCGAACAGG
rnacentral:rRNA from 1 species